rnacentral:tRNA from 1 species
UCCCUGGUGGCUCAGAUGGUAAAAGAAUCUGCCUGUAGUGCAGGAGACCCAGGUUUGAACCUUGGGCUGGGAA